CCAGCUCCUCCUCCUCCUCCUCCAGCUCCUCCUCCUCCUCCACCCAGCUCCUCCUCCUCCUCCAGCUCCUCCUCCUCCUCCUCCAGCUCCUCCUCCUCCACCACCACCCUGCUACCCAUCAUCUAAAGAUUAUUAAACCCGUUACCGUGACGCCCAGGAGACUGUGGGGGGGUCCUCCGUAUCGACUGUAUCUACUCCCCCUUUACUCCUACUUUGUAACUAGACUUCUUGCCUUGUAAGUAACCCCCCCCUCCUUAAUGUAACCACGGCGACGGCCUGGUCCCCAGCAUCAUAACCCCUCUGUAUAAACUCCUGGCAGCUCGCUGUAACUCCUGUAUGACCUCCGACCUGUCCUGCAUCCCCCCCCCCCCCCCCCCCCCCCGAUGAUUAUCAGGCCCACCCCAGGCCAUGCCUGAUUGGCUGUUGACAUGUAGAGGAAGCUCACUGAUUGGUGGGGAGCUGUAACGAGUGUCAGGCGGUUUGGUUAUGAAGGCAGCCAUGAGAUCGUCUGAUUAAGGUCAGAGCGACGAGGCCCAGAGGACGAGGAACCAAACAGAACACAACGGCCAUUCCUCGAAUCUUUAGUCAUGUUUCAAUUCUGUGAAACAAAACCUUAAUCUGCCCCUUAUAGUCGAAUAUGAAACGCUAGUGUGGUUAAUUAAUCUGCUCUGUCCUCAUGUAGCCUAAUGUGCUGCUGACCACUCCGGUCAGACCAGGUGGUCGUGGUCACAGCACACCUCCGUAGGGCUGGCCUGUUGCCGUGGCAGCCAGCGGGACGGACCAGGCUAGUGUAGUAGCUAAACCAAAGCGUGGAGGAGGAGCCGUCUGAGGGGUCCCAGGGCGGGGCUCAUUACCUUGCCUCCCUCGGUCCAGGGGGGGCGUGUCGGCAUGUUGUCUGGGCGACGCCCACUACGGGGUUCACUGUAAAUCUCCCCGCCAAGGCCCCGCCCCCUUGUUCAGUAUGGAAUCGUGUAUGUUUAUCGCUAUCUCUGUGGAUUAAAUAUUAAACAUUUGUGCGCUGAAAAAACUA